UCUUCACUUCCCACACUCUCUCACCGAUCAGAGUGACGAGAGAGAGUGUGUGAAAUGAAGAGA
rnacentral:pre_miRNA from 1 species